rnacentral:rRNA from 1 species
GAGUUUGAUUAUGGCUCAGGACGAACGCUGGCGGCGUGCUUAACACAUGCAAGUCGAACGGGAACCUUUAUUUCGGUAAAGGUGAGAGUGGCAAACGGGUGAGUAACACGUAGGCAACCUGCCGACAGGAUGGGGACAACAUUCCGAAAGGAAUGCUAAUACCGAAUGGAGUCGAGGGAAGGCAUCUUCUCUUGAUGAAAGAUGGCCUCUGAAUAUGCUAUCGCCUGUCGAUGGGCCUGCGUCUGAUUAGCCAGUUGGCGGGGUAACGGCCCUCCAAAGCGACGAUCAGUAGCCGGUCUGAGAGGAUGAACGGCCACAUUGGGACUGAGACACGGCCCAGACUCCUACGGGAGGCAGCAGUGGGGAAUCUUCCACAAUGGGCGAAAGCCUGAUGGAGCAACGCCGCGUGAGUGAAGAAGGUCUUCGGAUCGUAAAGCUCUGUUGUACGGGACGAAAACCGGGGAUGAGAAUAUU